rnacentral:rRNA from 1 species
UACAGAGGGGGCAAGCGUUGUUCGGAAUUACUGGGCGUAAAGGGCGCGUAGGCGGCCUGCUAAGUCGAACGUGAAAUCCCCGGGCUCAACCCGGGAACUGCGUCCGAUACUGGCAGGCUUGAAUCCGGGAGAGGGAUGUGGAAUUCCAGGUGUAGCGGUGAAAUGCGUAGAUAUCUGGAGGAACACCGGUGGCGAAGGCGGCAUCCUGGACCAGCACUGACACUGAGGCACGAAAGCGUGGGGAGCAAACAGG